rnacentral:rRNA from 1 species
AUUUUGGACAAUGGGGGAUACCCUGAUCCAGCCAUCCCGCGUGUAUGAUGUAGGCAUUCGGGUAGUAAAGUACUUUUGGUAGAGAAGAAAAGGUAUCUCCUAAUACGAGAUACUGCUGACGGUAUCUGCAGAAUAUGCACUUGCCAACUACGUGACAGCCGCCGCGGGAAUACGUAGGGUGCAAGUGUUAAUCGGAAUUACUGGGCGUAAAGCGUGUGUAGGCGGUUCGGAAAGAAAGAUGUGAAAUCCCAGGGCUCAACCUUGGAACUGCAUUUUUAGCUGCCGAGCUAGAGUAUGUCAGAGGGGGGUAGAAUUCCACGUGUAGCAGUGAAAUGCGUAGAUAUGUGGAGGAAUACCGAUGGCGAAGGCAGCCCCCUGGGAUAAUACUGACGCUCAGACACGAAAGCGUGGGGAGCAAACAG